AUGGAGGAGCAGAUCGCCGCACUCGUCAAGUCCGUCAACGAGGGUCGCCCGGCCAACGACGCCCGUUUGGAGGCGAUCCAGACCUCCCUCGAGCUGUGGCGACCAGCGGUGACGAAUCUCCAACACCAGCUCGACGAACUGCGUACGCAAGUGGGGCGUAUCGCGCUGCAUCCCGCGCUGGCCGAUCCGGUCGGCCAAGAAGGGGAUCCAGCAGCGGAUCCGAUGGCGCGCUCUCCGGCGGCACCCAUGACGCCGGGCGGGACGCAUCACGGGCCAGAGGGCCACGGCAAUAUCAUCGACUCCGGGGGAUCGGCUCACGGGGUGGUCACCACCCUGGCGCCUCCUCCGGUCAAGGGUGCGUCACUCAUGCCUUCUCUUGAGAUUCCUGCACCUGCAUCAAUAGAUCUCACUAGGGAGCAUGGGCAGUACUCACCGCACUCGCCGCAUCACAAUUGGUCCCUUCCACGGCUGGAAUUUCCGCCGUUUGACGGGGAUAACCCGCAAUUCUGGAAGGCCCGAUGUGAAAAGUAUUUUGAUGUGUAUGGCAUUCAGAAGGAGAUGUGGGUGCGAGUAGCUAGUUUGCAUUUUUCGGGCAAUGCUGCACGAUGGCUACAGAUUUAUGAAGCCCAGCAUGCAUCUUUCACAUGGGAAGAGUUAUGUUCAGCCAUGGGGGCAAAAUUCGGUCGCGAGCAAUACCAAGCCCAAUUGCGCCAGUUCAACUCCCUUAGGCAGGCUGGGUCAGUCGCAGAGUACAUGGAACAAUUUGAGGAACUUAUGCAUCAUUUGCUAGCACAUAAUGCCGCCUUCGAUCCACUGUUUUUCACCACGCAAUUCAUAGAUGGCUUAAAAAUUGAAAUCAAAGACGGUGUAGCUUUACACCGCCCCCAAGAUUUGGACUCUGCCUUUUCUCUUGCUUCGUUACAGGAGGAACUGUUGGCAAGCAUGCCACGGCGAGAUCAUCAACGCCACGAACAAGGGGUGCCUCGCGCUCCGGUACGCCCAUUACUGGCGGCAGGCGCUCCUCCUCCACGAGCGGCACUACCGGCGCCCCAAGGAGCGGCCGAAGAUCGCCGUGCCCUGGAUGCGGCGCGGGCUCCAGAUCAUCGUCACGAUCAAGGCCGAGGCCAAGACAGAGUCGCGGCGCUGUGCAACUACAGGCGUGCCCGAGGGCUCUGCUUCAAGUGCGGAGAGCGCUGGGGGCAAGGCCACCAGUGCGCGGCCAUGGUCCAACUUCAUGUGGUCGAAGAGCUGUGGGAACUGCUACAAGCCGAAGAACAAGACAGACAGGGGCACCAGACAGACGAAGAGCAGGUGAUGUGCAUCUCCAAGAUGGCCACCACAGGAGAAACAACACCACGUACAGUCCGGUUGCUUGGGAUGCUCGAUGGGAUUGAGGUGCUUAUCUUGGUGGAUUCUGGGAGCUCCCAUAGUUUCAUCAGUGAAGCGGUGGCGACGCGCAUGAAAGACAGAAUUCAGCCCAUACCAUCUAUAGCAGUCAAGAUCGCAAAUGGAGGAAUUCUGUAG
rnacentral:rRNA from 1 species